GUUUGCACUAGAAAUUAUACACACCAAAAAUACUUGGUAGGAUUUUGUUUUUGCGGUGUUAAUAAUAACCUGUAACACAAUCAAAACUAGAAUUCAUCAAACAGAGAGGCAAACACUUCUUUGCCUCUCUGUUGCAUAUACAGAUGCAGCACAGUUCCUGGGUUUUGUUCCUAAACGAUGUCCUUGAUGGGAAUUUGCUGAGUUAACAGCAAAGUAAAAGAGUUUCGACUUUCCCUCUGCUCGGAUGCGAUCGACGCGGCGCGAUUAGAAGGAGACUCUACAUUUCUCCAAAUUCCUGCCUUCGGGUUCAGGCGACCACGCCGCAACUAAUUGCCCUCAGAGAUCGAGUCGGUGUCUGGUUGUUCCGUCGAACGCGAGGACAUCGACCGAGCUGCGUUCACCAGCCGAGGUGGCUCAUAUCUCAGCCAUGGUUAGCUCAUAGCGCUAACUGCUCCGACGUGGGACGGUGUGGGUUAACAACGAGCUGUCGAACCGCAGAUCUGGACCCGUCAACCUUGAUCCGCUACCGGAUCGCUCAGCCGUGACACAUGGAGUUCAGCCCGUCAGCAUGAAUAAAGCCCAGCGACAAACUGCCACCAAAAAACUAGAUAAGCGUCAGGACUCUGCGUUUCAGGGUUUAUACGAAGAAGUUGAGAGACAUGAAUACUUUUCCUCGAGACUGUUAGAACCAACGUUCCUGAACAUCUGUCUUCCCCGCUACGACGGCGCUCACAUCUGGAUCUCUGUUUACAUGUCACGCGUCACGAAGCCUUUCAGAGAUCUAAGCUAUCAGCAGCUGACAUUUCUGCGGCAGUCAGCUGCUGGAAUGACGUCUUAUAAAUAUUCAACGUCAUCGUCAUGUUUGUACAUCUGAGAAACGCCACGAAGUGAUCAAGUUUCAGAGAAACCCAACAAACCAAAAAGCAGAGACACCAGUGCGGAACCUUGAGUUGGGAGAGAUGCACAUAAAAGUCUGUUAUGGAUGGAGAAAAGGAUCUGGCACAAUGAGUAACUACAUGCGGUAUCGAUUUGUCUGGGCAGAGAGGAUCGCUCUUAGAUUUGCUCAUGUAAGACUAAUGAACAGAUUAUUGAUUUGAUGUCCACUCAUCAAAAAAGAAGGAAAAAAGCGGGAGAGCCGCCAUGCUCUGUGAUAAUUUGACGUCUGCUCGUCUUUUUGAACCCGCCGUGGCACCUGACGGCGAGCAUCUGGAGCUGUUAACCUCCUUGUCUGUGGCGGUGGCCGGUCGUUGCUGUCGUCUGCCACUUGGGGGCAGAAUUGGGCUGCUCACCGCUGAGGACGUGGCGAGGGGAGGCUGCUCGCAGGGAGGUGGGAAAACUUCCAGUGAUGUGGCAAAAAGAAGAAAAGAAAGCAGCCACUGUCAGGAUGAAUCACAAUGCACCAUCAUAAUGCAGAUAAGAGCACAAUAUUUGUCUCUUAUAUGUUACUCCCUAUUAAAAUCCAGCUGUGCAUAUGAAGUUGA